rnacentral:hammerhead_ribozyme from 1 species
GCACUGCUGACGAGUCCCAAAUAGGACGAAACAGCUGACCCGGUGU